UUAUGAAAAAAACCAAUGUGUUCUCCAAUACCUUUACAAGAAAUAACAUUACAUAGUACAGGUAAAGAAAAAUUAUUUCCCCAAACCCAUGUACAUUUAUAACUAAGCAACUUGCUAUAGACUAACAAAGUAUAAAAGCAAGCAAGGUAGUUUUUCUCAGCCAGUUUCUCUUACUAGCAGGCAGCAAUUUGCAGUUACAAAGAAAGGAGUAAUUAUUUUAUUAUCUUUAAAAGUAAUCUUCCAAGAAUCUUAAAAGAAUCACAAAUCUAAGCUUUUAGAUAAACCCAGUCAUAUCUACCUUAAGUCCUCACAAUGCACAUCCACUCAUCAGCAACUGAAGCUGAGGGCAAAAAUGGACUAAGAAAUGAAUCACCACCAGUCCAGCCUCAGAGAGUCAUGUCAGCCAGUGCUGCCACUGCUCUCGCUCCCUCACCUUAACUAACUGGUUACCUAAUUAGUUAAUUGCUUAACUAGUAAGAGUGUGUCUUUCUGAACUUUAGUCUGCUUUCUAAGAUUUUUUUCCAUAAAAGCCAGUAGUAAAACCAUCUCAACCUAGCCUCACUAACAAUUUUAUUUUAUUUUAUUUUGGUUUUUUUGAGACAGUUUCUCUGUGUAGCCUUGGCUGUCCUCGCAGCAAUGCCUGAAAGAGAUCAAGCAUCGGCACUGCGAAUGUCAGAGAUACUGGCCAGAGAGGAACUGAAAACCUCUUAAAGUUUUCAUAUAACUCUUCGAUUAAGAGGGAUUAAAAAAAGAAGAAGAAGAAAGAAAAAAGAGGGAUGUGAGGGCAGAAGCAGAGCAGAACUCCAUAACAGUAUAAAGUCUUCAGGACACGUGGCCCUUUGGGUCAUGCAAUGCCAAGUCUCACCCAUGUAGCUGUGGUAACCUACGGGCUGCAUUCUAUGUGAUUCCUCCUGCAUGGCCUUCAAUGGGGCACUCCCCCUUCUCAGAGAAGGGGAAGGGGCGGGGCUGCGAUUCAGAUGUAAAGUUAAUAAAUUAAUGGAAAAAAAACCCCGAAACUCAUUUUUAGUUUAAAAUAGUAAGGGAUAUUUUAAGCUUAAGUCACUACUCAAAUUUUGUUUCAAAAUCGAAUGAAGAGAGCAGACAGGAGCAGAAUUAGAAACCCUCUGGGGAAGUAAAACUUUGUGCCUUGGUAAAAACCAAAAUAAAAACAGCAGACAGAAAUAUAGCCCAUCAUCUACAAUUAAUAUGUUAAAAGCAUUUUAUUUCUUAAACAAAACAAUAAACAAAAACCAACCAGGAUUCAGAAUGCAAGAGUGAGGUAACCAGAAGGAAACAGGAAACAACCCAGAGAACCAACGAGGCAGGGAUGGGACACGGUGGUGCUGGGGAUGGAAAGCUGUUGUCAAGACAACACUGUAUGUCAUCAUCUUUUCUGAUUUUUAAAGGCAGCCACUACCCAAACCUUCUCAUCUCCCUUAGUCUAGUAUCUGCUUUGGAGGAGCCGAGCAGAGAGAUGGGAAAGAGACUAGUUCUCCAAGCUCCAGAUCCUACCCACAUAGACGGAGUCAAGAACUGAACAUGAACAUGGUACACACCUGCACAGCACCCAGAAGGUAGGGGCAGGGAUUACACGUUUCAUGUCCUGUCUCACAGGAAACAAACUAAACAGGAAGUAGGGCACAGAAACAAAAAAGAGGGUAUAGGGAUGAAAUGAAGGCUUCCAGGUGCAACCAACUGGCCAGCACACCAUCUCAGGACUAGCUAAACUGUGGAAGUGGCUCCCAAACCAUGCUCCCCUGUCCCAGAGGCUAAGCCCAAAGGCAGCAGAUGUGGUGCUCAGAGGACAAAUCAUGUCGGUGUGCUCAGAAUUCCUUCCAGGCUUAUGAGAACUUUCCAUGUAACUUAUUGUAUUUCAACCUAGGAUCAAGAUGAAACAGAUGAAGGUCGGCUCCUAUGAGGUGGCAAAGCCCUCUGAAGGCUCCCGCUUGAAGCAGCCCCUCCAACAAGCCCGUGUCAGCCAACCUACAAAGGCAUGAGGGUUAUUUUAGGCAAGUGAGAUGCAUGGUGCUUAUGAUGGCAACAGUGACUGAGGUGAGCAGAUGGCAGGCUCUCUGGCUCCACUCUGUCACAAGGGAACACCUCGUGUUGAAGAGCACCGUGCCCCCAUCUGCCCUCUUCCAAGCACUUCCAAGCUCUUGCACCUAGGAAAUCUCGUAGGCCUUCUUCACCUGCUUCAGUCAGACUUGUCCCCAGUGUCCAGGUUCUGCGCUGCCUCCACCAUGAAGCCCGCUGCCUUCCUGCUCGCUUAGGUGUCCUGUUCCUGCCUUCCUCGGUGGUGGCUUAUCUCAGUCCUAUUUAUCACUUUUUGCUUACAUGAUGAAACCGUCAGCCGUUAAAGGACACCACCACCAUUCUGCCCACUGAUACUCAAGUACAUAGCAGGUAAGAAACAUAUACUUGUUGAGUUAAUACAUGUGAAAGAUUCAUUUUGGUAAGUACAAAAGUCUAAAAUAACUACUAAGAAGCCACUGAGUUCUUAAAGGACAAAAAUCAGAGCUGGGGAUGGAGGCACAUACCUGUAGGUGAUGCAGCACCUAGACGUGGAGUAGGAACACUCAGGAAUUCAUUCUAGGCUGUAGGAAACACACUAACAACCUGCAAAAAACUUGUCUAAAAACCUGCUGUAACUUAACACAUUUUAAAGAAAAAAGUUCUUUAUAUGUAAAAAAGAAAGACACUUGAUUUUUUACAUUAAAAAUUUUUAUUUCAUUUAAAAGAUCCAAUAUUUGAAGCCAAAUUAACCCCAAAUUUACAGCUACAUUUAGAGAUCUCUGAACUAAAUGGCACUGUUUGAGGUCACCUGUCAUCGUUAUCUCCCCCAAAGUUGUUUCUGAGCAAAAGCUGGUAUUUCUGUAACACAUAUCUUAGAUGUCACCUUUCUCACAGAAAUUAAAGGCCGACAGACUUUCCCCUUGUGGGCGAGGAUAAAUACACAACCGACCCACCAGGACCAAUGCUUUGUGCACACUAUAGGUGUAUGUAACUAUAAAGUAACGUAUGGCGCUAUGCUGUGCUCCUGUAUUUAUUCCAAAUACUGGUGUUAGUCAACACUUUCUGGGAUAGUACUUCAAAAUUUCCCUCUUCCAGUGCACACCAAAGGAAGUGGGUUGCUCAAGCUAGAGACAAACUACCACAAAGGAACAGCUUUUCUAGUCGGCUGGUAACAGCACAAACCACCUCCCGAGUGUUUUACUUAAAGUGAUGCAGGAUCUUGGUCUCUACAUACAUAUGAGGAUAAAUUAAAAGAUGAGUUUGUUACUUUAUAGCUACACAUUUGACUUCAAUAGAUGUGCAGACAAUGUGUCUAAUGAGUCCAUCUGGAAAUCACUUCAGCCUGUGAAAGAGAAGACAUGGCAGAGGGUGGAAAGUCAUCCUUCCAGCAUUCCCUUGGAGGACAGAGCUGGGCCCAAGGACAGAAGUUACCAGGAGGGAGGCUUCAGCUCCAUUAAGGAGACCUUCCUAACAGAGCUGCUCAACAAUGAAUGGACUGCUCGUGAGGUAGUCACUGGAAGUGUUCAAGGUGGAAAGACAACCUUGGAGAAGGGACUCCUGCAUUUAAGAGGUUAGACUGGAUGGACCUCAGGUCUCUUUCAAUUCUGAGAUUCUAGAAAAUUCCCUCAGGGAAUUCAGAAGAGAAUUCCUAAAAGGAAAGAGAAAGCACACAUAUGGUAUACUUUUAGAAUCCUCUUGAGUUUUCUUUUUUAAAAGGUACAAUAGAAAUGUAGUCUACGGUCUUUUAAAAUGCAUAUUUACCCUUCUCCCACUAUUAAUUACGAAGGGUUCAUUACGACUCCUUUAUAUUAUAAAGAAAAGAUGGAGAUUAUAUUUAUAAUUUUGCAAAUAUUUUAGAAAAAUGCUUAAAAUCUAGUAGUCAAUGCCCUAGAAACUUUAUAGAUUUUUAAGUAAUAUGCACAGAUACAAAUACAUUAUUCAUUAAAUACAGCUCACGUCUGUGUUUUAUUAUACUCUAAAAUAUACAGGAAUCUUGAUGUACUGAAAGAGUGCAAGUAAAUACAGGAUUCAAGCAGUCACUAUUUCUAUGUACAUGCUCAUUAAUUCUUCAAAAAACCCACAAAAUUAUCAAAUAGAUCAAAAUACUGUUCUGUGUUUUCACACUUUAUAUUCAGAAAAACCAGCUGAUAAUUUACAAUGUCAUAAAGUUCCAGUUUCACAAUACAAAAAGGGUAAGAUGGAAUUGGGUAUCAUUUUGUUGCAAUGUAUGGAACUUUACCCAGCUCUAGUAAGACCCCUCCCCCC